rnacentral:rRNA from 1 species
AUGUGCCAGCUUCAGCAUGCCGGCGCCCAGGCGGUUGCCGCUCUGUGGCUAGACAUGUCGGCUCUACGCACCGCCAGUCGGACCACCGACCGGCUGGAAGUCGGCGCCGGCCGUCUUGAAGCUUGGAAGGGUUCCUCGGCCCGGGCCAGAGCGCCCCGGGACUUGGAGUUCGUCAAGGCGUGGUAUCCGGGGCUGGACCUGGACCGUCUGGCCGCAUUCCGGUCAGAGGCCCAGGCUGAGCUGGAGGCUGUGGAGGGCGCCCUUGUCGAGCGUGUGGUGUCCAUCGCCGAGUACACGGACACCAGUGUCUUUGUCCUCGAGUGGGCUGAAGGCAGCGAGGAGGUGCCGCCAGAGUGGUUCGGGAUGAACCCGGAAUAUGGCGAGGACUCGGUGGAGGUGAUUGACUCCAGCACCGAGGAAGAAGGCGAGGCAGAGGACGAAGGCGUGACGGAGGUGCCAGAAGGCGAAGCGGGCGACCAGCCUCAGCUCGACCGUGCCUCUAGCAACGAGCCGCGUCCGACCGGGCCAACUGCCGCUGGCGGUGAUCAAGCCGAGACCGCCGAGCCAACUGCCCCGACGCCUGACACCGCCAUCUCCUCUAACCCUCCGAACCCGUCUCCUGCUCCUUAG